rnacentral:piRNA from 1 species
UGAGUUGCGUUCCAUAGAACCUUUGAGUU